CGUGGGCACUCGGCAAUACAUCAGUUGCAUACUACCUUCACAGUAAGUUCUUAUAUCUUUUCUAUUGUGUUUAAAACCACAACCUCUAAAAUGGAAGCUAUCAAGAAGAAGAUGACUAUGUUGAAAUUGGACAAAGAGAAUGCACUCGACAGAGCCGAACAAGCAGAAAUCGACCGAAAAAGCGCAGAGAGCAAAGCAAAAGAGCUUGAGGAACAACUUCUUGGUUUGGGCAAACGAGUCAAAGCAACAGAGGACGAAUUGGAAUCUGCCCAAGAGAAAUUGAGACUUGCCAAUGAAGAUUUAGAGAAAGCCGAGAAGAAAGCUGCUGACGCCGAAGAAGAAGUGUCGGCAUUGAACCGACGUAUCUGUCUCGUUGAAGAAGAAUUGGACCAAGCUCAGGAGAGACUUACCAUCUCUUUGCAAAAGUUGGAAGAGGCAGAGAAGGCAGCUGAUGAAAGUGAACGAGGUCGCAAGGUCAUUGAGAACCGAGCUUUGAAGGAUGAAGAGAAAUUGGAAGCACAAGAAGUUUCAUUGAACGAAGCCAAGAGCGUCGCUGAGGAUGCUGAUAAGAAAUAUGAGGAGGUUGCGAGAAAACUUGUCAAUGUGGAAAGCGACCUUGAACGUGGCGAAGAGAGAGCCGAACUCGCUGAAGGAAAAGCAACUGAACUCGAAGAGGAAUUGAAAACAGCGGCCAACAGUUUGAAAUCGUUAGAAGCUGCUGCUGAAAAGUAUUCUGCCAAAGAGAAAUCUUACGAAGAAGAAAUCAAAUGUUUGAGUGACAAAUUGAAAGACGUAAGUGACAUGUGCAUUGCAAUCUUUAGGUGUAAUAAGCAUAGAAUAGUCUUCAUAUCUGGCGGUAUGGUUUGUUUACUGGAGCAACAAACUGUUCUUAUUUUCUACAAUUCAUUUUUACAUUUGCCCAGUCGUUAUGGCUUUUUAAUGUGUCAAUUAUUAAUUUUCUAACAGUCGGAAAACAGAGCUGAGUUCGCUGAAAAAUCUGUUGUCCAGUUGGAGAGAAGCAUUGACGACCUGGAAGACGAGCUCUACAAACAAAAGAUGCAGCUCCGAAACUUCAACGAAGAAGUCUCUGCUUAUUAACGUACUUUAAUAUUUAUUUUACUUCAAUAAAAUCACCCGGCACACUU